rnacentral:misc_RNA from 1 species
UUUUCAUUUCAGUUGAUUUUAGUAAAGUGAUUAAUAUUAGCUGAUUUUUUUAACAAAUACUUUAGUGUGAAAAUAUAUAUUUAUUAAUUAAUAAUUCACUCAUAAAAGUAUUCAAAAAGGAAGGAAAUAAGCUUUCGUUAAUAUGAAUAUACCGAAAAAAACUCUGGUCAAAGAUGCACACAUCGUGAAAAUUGCUGUGGAGUUGGAGAAUUAUGUGCCGCAACUAAUAUGUUUGGAUCAGCGACAACCUUUAACGGGUAAAAUUCAAGAGAUCUGCAGUUAUUGGGAUAUUGCUGAUCCACAAAAUUAUGCACUGGAAUUCUGUGAUGCGAAUAAUCAAAAAUAUGUCACAGAGAAAAAUCGUAAUGAAAUCAAAAACGGUUCAGUAUUACAUUUGUCAUAUUCUCCAUCGAAAACUGCGAAUGAUACACUUGAGUCAUUACGUUCAGGUUCCAUUGUGGAGAAGACGAAAUGUUUAAAGCAACUUGCUACACUUAGCAAGGAUCAUACUUUCGCUAUGGAGUUCAUCAAAGAACAAGGUCUGACUAUUAUCAUUAAUAUGAUAGAGGAUCCUUCACAGAAAGAUGACGACAUACUAAAAUACAGUUUACAAAGCUUCGUCGAGCUAAUGGAGCAUGAUACAAUAUCUUGGGAAAUAUUACAAAGCACAUUCGUACAACGAAACAUUUAUAUUGUUUGUAAUUUUCAACAUUUUCCCAAAGAAUGUACCCAAAGUGCACUCUCCAACUUGGAGAAUAUUGUGCAAAAUAGCAGCAAAUAUGUGCUAGUCGAAAAAGAUGUCACACUACAAGAUUUACUACGUCUACUGCAAGAUGCCAAUUCGGCAACAACACAACAGAAUGCUAUUGCGUUAAUCAAUGCUCUAUUCAUGAAGGCGGACGAAGCACGCAAACGGCAAAUUGCGCAUACCAUUAGUGCAAAGCCUUAUCGUUUGGCGUUGUUAGGCAAUGCUUCGGGACGGCAAAUAGAGAUGACUCAUCAAUUGUAUGUUUUGCAAACACUCACUCUGGGCUUGUUAGAGCAGCGAAUGCGCAUGAAAAUGAACGCACAGGAUCAGGAUGCGCACGAUAAAAUCAAAGAACUACGACGCAUUGCAUUCGAUGAUUAUUCUGGUCAAAUGGGUAUGGGUGAAGAGCAUUUGCGACGCGGUGGUGGCGGAUCAGGUGGUGGCAAUGUAAAUUUUUCGCAGUUUUAUAAGAAAUUGGGUUUCAAAUGCGACAUAAAUCCAGCACAGGAUUUUAUUGAAACCCCUCCAGGUAUUUUGGCAUUAGAUUGUAUGGUAUACUUUGCACGAACUUAUACACAACAGUACACAAAAAUUGUACACGAAAACUCAUGUCGUGCUGACGAACAUGAAUGUCCCUUCGGUCGCACUUCCAUUGAAUUGGUAAAGGUGCUUUGCGAUAUACUACGUAUUGGUGAACCGCCAGCAGAGCAAUCGGCAGAUUUUCAACCAAUGUUCUUUACGCAUGAUCAUCCAUUCGAAGAAUUCUUUUGUAUUUGUAUUAUAACGUUAAAUCGUACGUGGAAGGAUAUGCGCGCCACAGCGGAAGAUUUUCAAAAGGUAUUCAGUGUAGUGCGUGAACAAAUCAUACGCACACUCAAGGAACGCCCGGAAAAUCUAGAAGAGUUUCGUGCCAAAAUUGCUCUACUAACUUAUCAAACGAUUACUAAUUUACGUCAACAAGAACGCAUCUCAAAAGAGGAAUGCGAUUCCACAGCAUCAGCUAUAGUCAAGUUGAAAGAAAAGAUCUCACCACACAUACUCGAUUUAAUUAAACAGCAGCGUCUAUCUUAUUUGGUAGAAGGCACCCGUUUUUCCAAAUACUCCCGCGGCACACGUUCCAAAGAUAAAUUUUGGUAUGCUCGCCUCUCACCCAAUCAUAAGGUUAUACAUUAUGGUGAUUGUGAUGAGAAAACCGUGCCAACUCUCGAAGAACUUACUAACAAAGUGACCGUUAACGAUAUAAAACAAUUGCUCGAGGGCAAAGAAUGUCCGCAUAUGAAAGAAAUGCGUACACGUAAAAAUGCUGGUAAUCUGGCUUUCUCUAUUACGCUCGAUUGCAUGGAGAAUACCACAUUGGAUUUUGUAGCACCAGAUGAGACUACAUUUCAUUAUUGGACAGAUGGUAUAAACGCUUUGCUGGGUCAGGAAAUGACAAGUAAACAAAAGAAGGAAGAUUUCGACACGUUAUUGUCAAUGGAAAUCAAAUUACGUUUACUGGAUACCGAAGGUGUGGACAUUAGCAAAGAUCCACCACCAAUACCUGAAGAUCCAGAAAACUAUGAUUUUUGUUUCGAGAGUUAGGAAGGUGUUUUGCGUGCCUUGCAUUAUUCUAUAAUUAUGUAUUGAUGUUGUGAUGAUAACUCAAAUAAGAAAUUCCGAGGAUCUUUAUUCGAAAAACAUGCCAAAGUAAAGUCCCUUAGUAGCGGGACUUGUAUAAUAUUUUAUACCAAUCUACAAGUAUCUACAACGAAAAACAAGACAUUUGAACAAAGUAUCAAAUUAUUACAUAAAUAAUAGAUAUUUGUAUUUUUUUUAAUAAUAUGCAAUAUUUUUAUUCACGAUUAUGCCACUACAGCUUUCGUGUGAACAACAAACUACAUAUAUUUAUUUUUACAUGUUAUAAGCUAGACAUAGUAUGCGUUUUUUUUUUUUUUU